GAGCAGUUCCGUUAAAAAAAACCUCCCUGAGCAGCAGCAGCCACCGUCGUUCCAACCUAACUAAGGAGCACUUUUCGUGGGAACUUCAAAUUUGUAAAAGGAUCAUACUAAUUGGGCAUUUGGACUCCUCUCUGCAGUAUAGCUGAAUUUGAUUAUGUGGCCAAUGAUGAACAACAAACAGUGUAGCUGAAGCUUCUUAUAUUUCUUCAUGCAAUCCACUUGUUUGAUAAAAGUCCCCUGAGAAAUACUCAACACUUUGACAAUGGCAAACAGCAAAUAUGAGUACGUUAAGUCAUUCGAGGUUGAGGAUGAAAUCGUGCCUCCCAACAUCAUUCUUGUCCGAAUCGACGCCCGAGAUUUUAAAAGAUUCGCUGUGGCUCAUGAGUUGAAGAUGCCCAAUGAUGAGAACAUGUUGAAUUUGAUGAAUGCAUGUGCGACUUGUGUUUUGGAAGAGUUUCCUGACAUUGUUUUCUCCUAUGGCUUUAGUCAUGAAUACAGUUUUGUCUUAAAAAAGAAGACAAAGUUCUACCAAAGGAGAGCCAGCAAAAUUUUAUCACUGGUUGUGUCGUUCUUCUCUUCUAUAUACGUUGUAAAAUGGAAAGAGUUUUUCCCGGAACGAGAAAUGAGCUACCCCCCUUCAUUUCGUGGGCAGGUUAUACCUUGUGCUACAAUAGAUGUUCUCCAAGAAUAUCUUUCUUGGAGACAGAAUGAGUGUCAUGUUAAUAACCUCUAUAAUACUUGUUUUUGGAAAUUGGUUGAAAGUGGGAAUACCGAAAAAGAAGCUCAAGAAAUUCUGAAGGGCACUCAAAAACAAGAGAAAAAUGACAUUCUUUAUUUACAGUUUCAUGUCAACUAUAAAAAUGAUCUGCCUGCAAUGUUUCGUCAAGGGUCUUGUAUUCUUACUACACAGAAAGAAGAUGUUGUAAAAUAUAGCGAGGAUGGUACUCCUAUCAAAAGACUACGAAGGAAAGUAAAAACAGUCCAUUCAGAGAAUAUAGCUGGGAGAAACUUUUGGAGUGGACACCCAGAUGUUCUCCGAGAGUUGGGUGGUUUUACAAAAGAUGUUGCCAAAGUUAACCCUGAUUACAUAAGAUCUUUCCUCUUUCAAACUAAAUUGAUGCCAUCUACUUGGAUUGUGAUCAGAAUUGAUGGAUGCCAUUUUCACAGAUUUUGUGAUGCUCAUGAAUUCGAGAAGCCCAAUGAUGAGCAAGCUCUAAAUCUUAUGAAUUCAUGUGCAGCAGCUGUUUUACAAGAGUUUCAAGAUGUUACAUUUGCUUAUGGUGUAAGUGAUGAGUACAGCUUUGUUCUAAAGAAGGAUUCUAGAUUUUACAACAGGCUGCCCAGUGAUCUCAUUUCUGUCAUCGUAUCCUUCUUCUCCUCUAUGUAUGUGAUGAACUGGAAGUCUUUCUUCCCGCAGAAAGAACUUAGGUAUCCUCCCUCUUUUGAUGGAAGGGCUGUAUGCUACCCAUCAUCUGAGAUUCUUCGAGAUUAUCUUGCUUGGAGACAAGUUGACUGCCACAUUAAUAAUCAAUAUAAUACCUGUUUCUGGAUGCUUGUUAAGUCCGGAAAAAGCAAAAGUGAUGCUCAAGGUGUUUUAAAGGGUACUCAGACACAAGAGAAAAAUGAAAUACUAGCACAAUUUGGUAUUGACUAUAAUAAACUUCCCGCCAUUUUCCGCCAGGGUUCCUCUGUUUUCAAUGAGGACGCCAUGAUACAUGAGAAUGGAUAUGAGAAAGGAACAUCCACUGGAAAACUCAGGAGGAAAGUAAUAAUAGAUUUUUGCAACAUAAUUGAGCAAAGUUUUUGGAACGAGCACCCAUGUAUCCUUGAUUAGAAGCCUUAUUUGAUGCUAUGGACAAUUCAUGGAUGUUUUCGGGGUUGUUAUCAAUCAACAACUGGAUAUGCAUGUAGAUAUCUUAUAAGAAAAAAAUCCGCUAACCUCUACCACCACAUACCGCAAAGGUCCGAUUCUGGAUACAUGGUUCAGCUAACCAGUAUAAAGGAAUGUGAGAAGGACCUAAAGCUCUUCUUAAGGGCAUAGGACCAAGAAACCUGUGGAUAGAGGCAUUGGUGAUUCAAUUUUCUUUUGUUUGGUAUACUAGAAAGCGCAAAGCGGCUUAAUGUUCAGGGGCGUCUGACAGAGGAUUACGAUAGCAUAGUCAUGCAUUCUUUGGAAUAUGCUAAGAAACAUAGGCACUGAUAGCUAAGCAUCAUGGUGCUCUGCUUGUUGGUUGUUGCAGAGAUCCUCCCAUGCUCAUCGAUAAAUUAUGAUCCGUUUACGUUGGCUUGAUCAACUGAAGAAAUAUUACAAUCCCUUGGCUUAAUGAAAUCAUUAAAUACAAAGCAGACCGUUUAUAUAAUAACGUGGUGUUGACUUUAAUCUUUUGAUCAAGUUACUAACAAUAUUACUGAAUUAAUCUAUUUUCAGGACUUGCCUGGUCAUGUCCUUUCAUA